UAGGGAAUCUUCCACAAUGGACGAAAGUCUGAUGGAGCAACGCCGCGUGAGUGAAGAAGGGUUUCGGCUCGUAAAGCUCUGUUGUUAAAGAAGAACAUAUCUGAGAGUAACUGUUCAGGUAUUGACGGUAUUUAACCAGAAAGCCACGGCUAACUACGUACCAG
rnacentral:rRNA from 1 species